CACUACAAAGAUGCUUGUGGAGAGAACCUUGACUGGUAUUCAUAAUUGGCCAAAUACAACAGUUGUCUACAAUUAAUGAGUUUCAUCUGAAUGGGGCAUAAUCUCCAGAUUUAGGCUGCUGCUGCUCCCAGCUGUAAAUGGGUUCUUGGCCAUCUCUGCUGGGAAGUCAGAGACAGCUGGAUGUGCAUCACUUGCUUGCAUGCCAUUGGCUGUGGAAGCUGAACCAUGCUGACCGGAUGGGCCUUCUAGGCACAGGUGAACCAUGAACCAAAUGGAGGGCUGUUGACCUUGGUGGGCACCUGACUCAAUGCAAGAAUCUAGCCGGAAAGAGCUGCUUGCAGACCCAAGAAAUGACCCAGAGGUUUCAAACAUGGGGUCAGGAAGAAGUUACACUCCUACGGAUGGCAGAAGAGAAGAUUCAAGUCUUUAGCUUUCCUGAGCUUGGAAGAUGGACCUUUUUAUAGUCAUGGUUUCUCUAACCAAAGGAAGAGAUGGAAUGAGAAGGAAGAACUGAGAAA